GCCUCGGUAGCGUAGUGGUCAAGACGCUCACCUAGUAAACAGGAGGGCGUGGGUUCGAUCCCAGCCGAGGCA
rnacentral:tRNA from 1 species